rnacentral:rRNA from 1 species
AGAGUUUGAUCAUGGCUCAGAUUGAACGCUGGCGGCAGGCCUAACACAUGCAAGUCGAACGGUAACAGGAAGAAGCUUGCUUCUUUGCUGACGAGUGGCGGACGGGUGAGUAAUGUCUGGGAAACUGCCUGAUGGAGGGGGAUAACUACUGGAAACGGUAGCUAAUACCGCAUAACGUCGCAAGACCAAAGAGGGGGACCUUCGGGCCUCUUGCCAUCGGAUGUGCCCAGACGGGAUUAGCUAGUAGGUGGGGUAACGGCUCACCUAGGCGACGAUCCCUAGCUGGUCUGAGAGGAUGACCAGCCACACUGGAACUGAGACACGGUCCAGACUCCUACGGGAGGCAGCAGUGGGGAAUAUUGCACAAUGGGCGCAAGCCUGAUGCAGCCAUGCCGCGUGUAUGAAGAAGGCCUUCGGGAUGUAAAGUACUUUCAGCGGGGAGGAAGGGAGUAAAGUUAAUACCUUUGCUCAUUGACGUUACCCGCAGAAGAAGCACCGGCUAACUCCGCGCCAGCAGCCGCGUAAUACGGAGGGUGCAAGCGUUAAUCGGAAUUACUGGGCGUAAAGCGCACGCAGGCGGUUUGUUAAGUCAGAUGUGAAAUCCCCGGGCUCAACCUGGGAACUGCAUCUGAUACUGGCAAGCUUGAGUCUCGUAGAGGGGGGUAGAAUUCCAGGUGUAGCGGUGAAAUGCGUAGAGAUCUGGAGGAAUACCGGUGGCGAAGGCGGCCCCCUGGACGAAGACUGACGCUCAGGUGCGAAAGCGUGGGGAGCAAACAGGAUUAGAUACCCUGGUAGUCCACGCCGUAAACGAUGUCGACUUGGAGGUUGUGCCCUUGAGGCGUGGCUUCCGGAGCUAACGCGUUAAGUCGACCGCCUGGGGAGUACGACCGCAAGGUUAAAACUUAAAUGAAUUGACGGGGGCCCGCACAAGCGGUGGAGCAUGCGGUUUAAUUCGAUGCAACGCGAAGAACCUUACCUGGUCUCGACAUCCACAGAACUUUCCGGAGAUGGAUUGGUGCCUUCGGGAACUGUGAGACAGGUGCUGCAUGGCUGUCGUCAGCUCGUGUUGUGAAAUGUUGGGUUAAGUCCCGCAACGAGCGCAACCCUUAUCUUUUGUUGCCAGCGGUCCGGCCGGGAACUCAAAGGAGACUGCCAGUGAUAAACUGGAGGAAGGUGGGGAUGACGUCAAGUCAUCAUGGCCCUUACGACCAGGGCUACACACGUGCUACAAUGGCGCAUACAAAGAGAAGCGACCUCGCGAGAGCAAGCGGACCUCAUAAAGUGCGUCGUAGUCCGGAUUGGAGUCUGCAACUCGACUCCAUGAAGUCGGAAUCGCUAGUAAUCGUGGAUCAGAAUGCCACGGUGAAUACGUUCCCGGGCCUUGUACACACCGCCCGUCACACCAUGGGAGUGGGUUGCAAAAGAAGUAGGUAGCUUAACCUUCGGGAGGGCGCUUACCACUUUGUGAUUCAUGACUGGGGUGAAGUCGUAACAAGGUAACCGUAGGGGAACCUGCGGUUG